AACGAACGCUGGCGGCAUGCCUAACACAUGCAAGUCGAACGAGACCUUCGGGUCUAGUGGCGCACGGGUGCGUAACGCGUGGGAACCUGCCCUUAGGUUCGGAAUAACUCCCCGAAAGGGGUGCUAAUACCGGAUAAUGUCUUCGGACCAAAGAUUUAUCGCCUUUGGAUGGGCCCGCGUUGGAUUAGCUAGUUGGUAGGGUAAAAGCCUACUAAGGCGACGAUCCAUAGCUGGUCUGAGAGGAUGAUCAGCCACACUGGGACUGAGACACGGCCCAGACUCCUACGGGAGGCAGCAAUGGGGAAUAUUGGAGAGGGGGCGAAAGCCUGAUCCAGCAAUGCCGCGUGAGUGGUGAAGGCCUUAGGGUUGUAAAGCGCUUUUACCCGGGAUGAUAAUGACAGUACCGGGAGAAUAAGCUCCGGCUAACUCCGUG
rnacentral:rRNA from 1 species